rnacentral:rRNA from 1 species
GGGGAGGAGCCCAGAGCCUGAAUCAGCAUGUGUGUUAGUGGAAGCGUCUGGAAAGGCGCGCGAUACAGGGUGACAGCCCCGUACACAAAAGCGCAUGUGCUGUGAGCUCGAUGAGUAGGGCGGGACACGUGGUAUCCUGUCUGAAUAUGGGGGGACCAUCCUCCAAGGCUAAAUACUCCUGACUGACCGAUAGUGAACCAGUACCGUGAGGGAAAGGCGAAAAGAACCCCGGCGAGGGGAGUGAAAAAGAACCUGAAACCGUGUACGUACAAGCAGUGGGAGCACCCUUUGGGGUGUGACUGCGUACCUUUUGUAUAAUGGGUCAGCGACUUAUAUUCUGUAGCAAGGUUAACCGAAUAGGGGAGCCGGAGGGAAACCGAGUCUUAAUUGGGCGUUAAGUUGCAGGGUAUAGACCCGAAACCCGGUGAUCUAGCCAUGGGCAGGUUGAAGGUUGGGUAACACUAACUGGAGGACCGAACCGACUAAUGUUGAAAAAUUAGCGGAUGACCUGUGGCUGGGGGUGAAAGGCCAAUCAAACCGGGAGAUAGCUGGUUCUCCCCGAAAGCUAUUUAGGUAGCGCCUCGUGAAUUCAUCUCCGGGGGUAGAGCACUGUUUCGGCUAGGGGGCCAUCCCGGCUUACCAACCCGAUGCAAACUGCGAAUACCGGAGAAUGUUAUCACGGGAGACACACGGCGGGUGCUAACGUCCGUCGUGAAGAGGGAAACAACCCAGACCGCCAGCUAAGGUCCCAAAGUCAUGGUUAAGUGGGAAACGAUGUGGGAAGGCCCAGACAGCCAGGAUGUUGGCUUAGAAGCAGCCAUCAUUUAAAGAAAGCGUAAUAGCUCACUGGUCGAGUCGGCCUGCGCGGAAGAUGUAACGGGGCUAAACCAUGCACCGAAGCUGCGGCAGCGACGCUGAUGCGUUGUUGGGUAGGGGAGCG